CGGCAUCAGGGUCCAAAUGGGACAUCAUUUUUGACCUCUUUCCCUGAUGAUAAGGGCCUUUUAUCUUUUUCCAUUCCCUUUAUUUUCCUCCAUUGCGCCAUACAACCAGAGGCGCCGCAAAGGCGCGACAGGGAACGAAAGGAAAAAAGGCAUAUGUGCCGUGCGACAUAAACAAACGCGUUGACAUUGUAAACACCAUCGUACGGUAACGGCGACGGCCACGGUGGAUGCGACGAUAUUGCCAGUUGUGAUGGUAAUGAUGGCGACGGCGGGGAGAGCGCACCUAGUGCCGAAAGUGGCGCGCGUUGGUAAAGACCAUGGCGAUGCCCGCGGCGUUGCAGACGUCGAUAGCGGGUUUGUCGCCGCCGCGCGACCCGCCGGGUUGCACGAUGGCGACGACGCCGCCCUCGAUGGCCUUGGCCGGCCCGUCGGGAAAGGGAAAGUAGGCGUCGCUGGCCAUGACCAUGCCCGACAGAUCGAGUGCAGGGCGCGGAUAGGUGCGCGCGCGCAAUAGGGCCACCUCGACGGCGCCCACCCUGCAAGGUUGCGCGGCGCCCGCCGCGAUCAGGCGCCGGUCUUUGACGAGGACGACGGCGUUGGAUUUGACGUGCUUGCACGCACGUUCGGCGUACAAGAGGUCGAUGGUCUGACUGAGGUCGGGCUCUGUCUCGGUGACCACCUUCCAUUGGCGCGCAGUAGGCGCAGCGUCGCCGUCGGCAUCGCGGGCUUCGCAGCGUGCCGUAUCGCGGUCGUGCACCAAGAGUCCGCCGAGGGCACCGCGCACAGCAACCGGCGCCAGGUCCCAUGUAUUGACGCGCAGCAGCGUCUUGCGCGGCAGCAUGUCGACGACGCCCGGUUCAUAGCCUGGCGCCAGCACAACAUCCAAAUAGAGCGCGCUGACGAGAGCGGCCGCAGCGGCGUCCAGCGGCGCGUUGAAAAUGGCCACACCACCAAAAGGCGACAGGGUGUCGACGGCAAUGGCGCGUUGCCAGGCGGCGGCCAGGCUGUCGGCCGUGGCCAGCGCACACGGGAUGCCGUGUUUGAGCACGGCCGCCGUGGGGCCGUCGGCGAGAAAGUCGGCCAUGAGGGCCACGGCGGCAUCAACGUCGAGCACGUUGUUGUAAGAGAGCCGCGGUUUGUUCGGGUUGAUGGCCACGACCGACACCACAUUCGACAUGUCGCCGACAAAUACCGCGCGCUGGUGCGGAUUCUCGCCAUAGCGCAGCACCAUCGGCGGGGCGGUCGUGCCGGAAAGGCCGCGCAAUUCGUGCAAUGCAGCUGCGGCCGGACCUGUGGCGAUCAAGGGCUUGGGGGUUGCGCGCUCGCCAUCGUCGGCAUGCGUUGGCGGCUCGCAAUGGCUCUGUGCGGUGUUCAUCGAGCGGACGGUUGGGUCUCAACGUCUAGGCACAGGGGUCGACCUUUCCAAGACGAUUUUUUCCUGUUGCGCCUCUUGCUCGAACUGUUCCUGGCGCUUUCGAAUCUGCCUCGCAGAAAGGGCCUGGAAAAAUGCGGUUUCUGUUUUGGUGUUGUCUCGGUUACGGGCAGGCGUGCGCAGUGGCGCGGUUACCGAGUCGUGGCGCCACAGUCACUUGUCGCUGCUCACGGUCUUUUUUUGCGAGAGUUGUCGGAUGGAUCGGAAACAGAGAGACAAGAGGCGUGCAAUCCGAAAGACUGCCAAAAGGGAACCGAUCGACCAAGAGGCGGUGCGGACAAAAAGGCGACCCGGGGCAACGCACACGCGCACGACUGGUGCGAAAAAGGCGGCGCGCGUUCGAUAGAUCCGAAAAAGGUAAACAAAUCGAAAAAACGCAAAGGACGCGCAAUCAUUGGCCGAUUGGUCUCUUUGCGUGUUUUUUCAUGCAGCCUCUUUUUUGGUGCCCUUGGCGGCCUGAUGUGGGCACAUCACAUUGCCGCCGCGCCCAAAGAUGGAAAAAAACAAGGGGAAAAGACGAUUGCCGCCACCAAAAGAGACACCUCGGCUUUAGAAUUGUGGGGCGAGGGGAGAGAGAAAAAUGGCCGGUGCGGCCAGCACCCUGCGGCCACAGGACGACAUCCAUCGCGGGGGCAACAGGUGCCUCUGUUGUUUUAUGUUCACCUGUUUUUUUUCAAAGAAAUAUAAAAAACUGC
rnacentral:lncRNA from 1 species